AGAGGCUCUAACGCGAUGGUACUACUUCUGUUCCAACGCAACCACUUUGACCGGAAACAUCGUCUAUGCCGCGAAUGUCGAUCAGCUCUUCUCUUAUCUCUCAACCAACGCGACGGAGCACGACGGAUUCUUCAACACCACCGCGGGACAGGAGCCUAACAUGGUGUAUGGUCUCUUUCUAUGCCGUGGGGAUGCCCGUCCUGAAAUAUGCCGUGACUGCAUCAACCUUGCUGCUGCCGAUGUAGUUAAACUUUGUCCUAACCAAAGUUGGGCUAUUAUUUGGUAUAACAAGAGCAUGCUACGUUACUCGAACCGGUCCAUCUUUUCCUCCAUGGCUGAAAGACCUAAUGUAACUUUGUCGUACUGGGUAGACGCCAUGGAACCAUACCGCUUUAACCGGCUGGUUGCAACUGUGAUGAAAGAUAUUGCAACUCGGGCUCCAAAUGCUACAUCUAGGACUAAAAAGUUUGCUACGAAAGAGGCAACUUUUAAUGCGUUCCAAACACUACAGCCUAGCACAGUGCACACCAGACAUUUCCAGUGAGGAUUGCUACAGAUGCCUCCAGGACGCUAUUGCAGACUUGCAAUUACAUUUAGGUGGAAAACAAUCAGGAUUUGCUAUGUACCCUAGCUGUACUGCACAAUAUCAGACAAGCCCUUUCUAUAGCCUAAACCAAACUGGAUUAGCUAAGCCCCCAGUCUCGCCUCAACAUCCUCUUCUACUCCCUCCACCUCCUCCUCCAGGUCGGUGUAAUAGAUCAAAGUAGUGUCGUCGAUGCAUCAUUUACUCAAAAUUUGUUUUAAAUUCGCUUUACUUAAUCUCCUCUGCUUUUGUGGGAACAUUGAAUAGGUUUUCUUUAUGUAGUGAGUGUGAAUCGGAGUAUCAUUGUAUCACUAUAACGAGUUCUAUCAAUAAUUUUCAAACCAUUCUUCUUUAUUCAGGUAAAAGGGGGAUAUCAUCACAGACAGUGAUCAAAAUUGUUGUUUCAACGGUUGGCUUCUUGGUUUUGUCCUGUUUCUUAUGUUGUGUUCUUGGUUGGAAAGCAACCAAGAAACUAACUGCGCGAAAAACCAGAAAUGGAAAGCCAAAAUCUGUAAUAUGACCAUUCAACUCAAAAAUCACCAUUAUAUUUGCUUAGAAGCCAAUGACUUUCACAAUUUGUAUAAUUUGCAGAUGAACUCAAAGCCAUGGCAUUGCAAUCUCUGAGAUUUGAUUUGAGUAUAAUUGAAGCUGCUACAAAAAACUUCGCUGAAGUUAACAAGAUCGGUGCUGGUGGAUUUGGCAGUGUAUAUAAGGUGAGGAAAAUGGUAUGAUCGUAUAAAAUUAUCUCCACUCUUUUUGGUUAAAGAUUUAGAGAUAGUCCCAAGGUUGAUUGUUUCAUAAAGAAUUAUUGUGCUUGACACGGUUAGGGUAUACUUACUGAUGGACAAGAAAUAGCUGAGAAGAGACUAUAAACAAGCUCGGGUUCAAGUGCUGAUGAGUUUCAGACUGAAGUAGUAUUGGUAGCCAAACUUCAGCAUCGGAAUCUUGUGAAGCUAUUAGGGUAUUGCCUAGAAAGAAAAGAUAAGAUGCUUAUCUAUGAACUUGUGCCCAACAAAAGCCUUGAUCACUUCAUAUUUGGUUUGGCCCUUUCACACAGACAGAUAUACCUGCAUGCUUUUAUUUUCACCAAAAAUAACCUGUUUAUGACCUAUUGAUCAUGACAAACAACAUUUACUUUUUCUUUUGCUCUUUCAUUUCAGAUCUUGAAAAACAAAGACAGUUAGUUUGGCCCCUACGAUACAAAAUAAUUAAAGGGAUUGCUCGAGGGCUUUUAUACCUUCACUCAGAUUCACGUCUCAAAAUCAUACACCGUGAUCUUAAAGCUGGUAAUAUUCUAUUAGACGAGGACAUGACCCCAAAGAUUUCUGAUUUUGGUAUGGCAAAGAUUGUUGGGGAGAAUAAAAGCCUACAACAUACCAAGAGAAUCGCCGGCACAUAGUAAGUUAAUUUCCAUUCAAUUGCAUUUUACUUUCACUUGUGCAAAUCUCUGUUUUGAUAUUGCUGCAUUAUAUUGACAAAAAAUCUACUAAGUUCUGGGUUAAUUACUAACGCUUUUAUGUUGCAGUGGUUACAUGUCUCCAGAAUAUGCUGUGCAUGGACUAUUCUCUGAAAAGUCUGAUAUAUAUAGUUUCGGUAUUUUGAUGCUGGAAAUUGUAUGUGGCAAAAGGAAUACAAGUUUCUUUCACUCUGCACAUGCCGAAAACCUUCUAACUUACGUAAGUCUAAGAGGAUCCAACACUUGCACCCGACUUCAAAUAAUUGUGUACUAAGAAGUGUUAUAUGGUGGUUGUUUGCAGGUAUGGAGACAAUGGAAAAAUGGGACACCAAUAGAAGUGAUGGAUUCAGCCUUAAGAGAUUCUUAUGUAAGCAAUGAAGUUGCAAGGUGCAUUCACAUCGCCUUGUUGUGCGUUCAACAAGAUCCAGAAGCAAGGCCACCAAUGGCGAAAGUUGUUGAUACGAGUCACGAAGGCCCAACCCAAACUCAAGAACGUGAUGGGAUCAAAUUACCACAAGGCCCAAUAACGAGGUCAAAGGCCAGACAAAUGCAUUCCAAACUAAAUGGGACCAUUCAGGACUUUGUUAGCAAGGCCUUAGAUGCAUACACGAAAGAAAGAGAAAAUCAAGAUUCACUUUCUUGUUUUCAAGAAAAUCAAGAAACCGAAUCUUGGCCCAAUUUUGUUGUUUGGAGCGAUUUCAAGAAUCAAGAAAAGCAAGAUUUCAAAUCUUGGAAAUCUUGGUCCAAGAAACUGAAUCUUGCAGCUAAUGAGCAUUGGAUCUCCGUUACGAGCAUCAACGAGCCAAUUUCGAUAGGAGAUGGACUACAAGCCCAAGUUCUUGAAGGCAAGGCCCAAUAAGAUGAUUCCAAGCCCAACCAAGAAGUCAAACCAUACUUAGUUGAAAAUCAGGCCAAAUUGUUAAAGUGGCCCAAUUUGUAAAAAUUUUAAUUGUUUAAAUAUCUAGUUUAAUUUUUAGACUUUAGGAUUUUUAUAUGUAAAAAUUCGGCCCAAGCAGCCCAUUAAAAUGCCUUCGCCGAAUUUCCCUAUUAAUUUGUUAAUUAGGUUUUUUUUAAGUUUUCCUAAUGAGAUUAGAAAAUAGUUAUAAGGCUAUUAAUAGGCAUGGCUGUCCACCCUUGUAAGACACAUUAUAAUUACAUUGAAAAUUUCAAAUUUUAUUGAUCCAAAUUUCUCUUUGAUUUUUCUCCAAGAAUUCUCUCUUGAGUUUUCUUUGGAAGUAGUUUUAACAAUCUUUUUUAUUGUGGGAGCCAUCUUCAGCCUUCUUCUUGCCAAUGAUCUUCAUUAGAGGGAGGAUUAGAGCCGUUUGAAGGGAGUUGUGAAAUCUUUCGGGAUUUCAAGGCUUCUUAGGACUUUAUCUUUAUUUUCUUGCUGUUCAAUCUCUUUUAAAUUUCUGAUUGUGUCGAUUUUUAUUAGCUAAUUUGUUUGUUGUUCUUGUUGCGUUUCAGCCUUUCCAAAACUCCAAGAUCUGAAUCGGCACUUCCUUGGACAUAAAGAAACGUUUUUGAUUUCACAAGAACCCCUCUUUUCUUGCCGUCCCAUCUCUAGAAGUAGUUUCAAUUGAUUUCGUGAUCUGUUUUAAUCUAUUUGUUAUUUUGUGUUCUUUGUUAGAUUCGGCUGAUUGGAAGUUAAUCUUGGGGCUUAAUUUCGUGUUCUUGGCUUCCAAGAAUAUUUAUUCAUAAGUGUUUGAUUAUUGGUUGUUCUUUAUUGAAUUGAGAAUUUUUAGUUUUCAGAUCUAAUUGAUUUUAAUUAAGUUUUGCUGUCUUGUUUCAGAUCUGAUCGUCUAGAGCCUUCAUAGGAAUUUCUCGUGACUUGACAACUCAAUCUUGGUCCGCGCGCAACCCCCCUUAUCAGUUGUUCUCAUGCUCAACAGUUCCUCGGUUACUUUGCCAUCACCUCAAAGAACAGCAUUCUAUUUUGGCACCAUUACUGAAGGAAAGCCUUCGAUUAUGAAUUAUAAAUCUGAUCAAUCAACAAGUAGUGCCUUGGCCACAGUUAACGAGACGUCCCUUACUGAACUAUCCCCUCGUUAAAUCCGAUGAGUGUGUAAUGGAUGAUCAUGAUGAAGCUCAACAGCAUUUUCUAUAAAUAUACAUAAUCUUUAUUGAGAAUGUGUCUUAGACUUGCUUAAUAAUAGGUCUGUAGACCAAGUCUUUAGGGAUUUAAAUUUAUGUUACAUGAUUUUCAGGAGUAAGUUAAGUAUUUGUGAUACAUUUUUUAGGAGUAAUUUUUGCAAGUUUUUGUUAUUUUUUUUACUAUAUAAUAUGAAAAAUACAACAAAUUAUAUUAUGAUUCUAAUAUAUCUUUCAUUUAUAUUUUUUGUGUUUUAUAUUGUUGCUAAAAUACUAACAAUCUUUCACUUUGAUAUUUGAAGGUGUUAUUUAUUUAGUAAAAGUAAUCCAACUCAAUUAACUCACCCAUUCAUACAUAAUAUUUUUCAUUAACAUCUGAAAAAUCAGAGGAGGAUAUGGUAGAAAUAACCUUGGAUGGUAUGUCUUAGCAUCCUUCAAAAACUUCUUAAGUUGCCCCAAAUCAAACUUUUCCAUUGACAAUAUCUUACCCAAAAAGAUGGUCCUUUUCUUUCUCACAACAUAACAAUCGAAAAAUAAAUUAAAUAACAAUAACUAUUUUCCUCAAUUCAAAAAAGUUUUAAUUUUUGUGGUUUUAUAUAUAUUAUAAUUUAAUUAUUUAUUAUAUUUUAUUUGAAAAUUUAUUUCUCAUAAUUAUUAAUUUUAUACUAGAUUUAAAUCAAUUAUGUAAUUUAUUUAACUUUGAUUUUAUUUUAUUUUAAAAAUUAAGGAAUUGAACCUUAUCGACCUUAAUAUACAAACCUAAGAAAUACAAAUAACUUGAAUAUAAAAUGAUGAAAUUCAUUAUAAUCGUGUAUUAAAUUAACCCUGAAUGACUAAACAUGAAAUGACUAUAACUCAAAAAACCUAACAUUCAAACCCAAAAUGACCUGAAUUCAAAAUGAUCCAAACUCAAAAUGAUCUGAAUUCAAAAUGAUCCAAACCCAAAAUCACCCCACCUGAAGUAACUCAAAAUUUUAAAACCUGAAUUGAUCCGAUCCAAAACUAACAUGACCCACCCAACUAACAUUUACAACAUUAUUCCUAAAAUAUAUUAAAUGUUAUGAGUCUAAUCUUGAAAACAAAAGAUUUAAUUCAAAAGUUAAAAGAUAAUGGAUGUGCUAACUUGUUGAAUAAAAUGAUUUUUUUUUUUUUGUGAAACUUGAGAAUUGGAUGUUCUAGAUACGAAUACACAGUAGGUCAUAGUCAUAAAAAGAAGAUGUUGCUAUAGAAUCACUAUUGAGUGGAUAUAUAUUUGACUAUAAUAGAUAACCAAUUGCAAGAAUUGAACAACAAAUUUAACUAACAUGCUACAACUUUAGAUUCUAAAAAGUUCUUCAAGUUAUUUGAUAUUGAAAAAUAUUACAUUCUUAUAAAUAAGUUUUAUCUAGAUGAUUUUUCUCAAUAAGAGAAAGAACAUAUUUAAUAUGAUUUGAGAUAUUAUGAACUUGACGUGUGUCAACAUCUUAAAUUGUGAAAAUAUCAACACUUUAUUUUUUUUAUAGAAGUUUAGUUGAGUGUAGAAAGUUAGUUACAUAUUAUUUCAUUGAUAGAUUAUUUAAUUUAUAUUGAUUCUUCCAGUUUCAGCUACAUCUAUAAAGCAUUUUUUUAGACUAUAAAAAUUGUGAAGACCCAACUUUAAAAAAACAUGAAAGAUGGUUUUAUAAGAAACUCUUUAGUUAUUUAUUUGAAGGAAAAAUCACAAAAAAAUUUAAUAUAAAUAUGAGAACCAAAAGUUUUUUAAUAUUUUCUAAAAUUUAUUUUGAUAUUUUGUUUUACUUAACUUUUAUUUUUAAAAAGGUUACUAUUUCUCAUCGGCUGGAUUCCUAAGUGAAUUAUCUAGCUUCGUCCCUAGUAGGGAUAUUGAGUUAGUUGCUUAUUUCUUGAAAGCAUUUUGUGGGUUCUCCAUCAUUUUACUUAUCGAUCCACCAUGUUUAUUCAAUGUUCAAAGUAAAUUAGAACAGUGACUCAUGAUAUUCAACUUGACUGAGUCUCCCUUGUAAACAAUGACACAUCACUGGCAAUUGAAAAAACAACUGGCUUGACCCACACUUUCGUGCUUUGGAAGCUAAAACCACCCAUAUCACCAUCAAGUAGAAGAACCGAGUUUUGGGGAAAACAAAAUCUAUAGACUCACAGAUCUUACAAGUUUAAUCAACCAAAAAACUAUUCAUUUCUUAUUUGUCAAAAUUUCAAGAUUUCUCUUCCGAAAGCGUGGCUACACUUCUUUUUUUUUUUUUUUUUGUGUGUAUGUGUGGCUAGACUUUUUUGCUUGACUUAAACUCGUUAUUUCAAGUAGUCUUGCGAGCAAAUUUAUUGCAGCGAAAUUAUCGUUUUUAGAUUUUAUAAUUAAUUUAAUACUAUCUGAUAUAGUGAAAUAAAAAAAGUUCGAGUUAGUCGAAUUAAAGAUUUCUAUUUUAUUAUCUGAAUUCGAUUUGAGUAGAAUCAAGUCGAGUUGAGUAAUUUUAUUUGAGUUAAAUUUAAAAAAUUAAACUAACCAUAAAUUUUAUUGACAAUAUAAUUAAAUUCCAAAUUAAAGAACAUAAAUGUCAUGUAUAUAUGAAAACUCUUUUGAAAAAAUAAGAGGGAAAAAAUAAGAUAACUAGUAUGAUAAACUUAGUUGAUAAUUUAUUUAUUUAACAUCUCAAAUUUAUCAUUUUAAAUUUUAGAAAUAAUGAAAUAAUAUAUGUGGCAUACAAUAUUUUAGAAAUAAUGAAAUUUAACUCAAUGGAUUGAAUGUAUACUAUUUGGUCAAAAUUGAAUUUUACAGCUAAAAAAAAUUAUAAAAAUAUCAAAUUAUAGUACAUAGAUCAAAUUUGUAACUUACACAUAGUACAAAGGACUAAUAACAAAUUUUACUUUGUUAUGAAAUAAUUCCAAAGCCUACUCUAGUGUCACGGACUUAGAGUUUUCCCAUGCGAUCCAUGCGGCCUUAGGCAGUUUCUCUGCUUAAAACGCCUAAGUCAGCCUAACUUGUAACAAAAAAAAGAUUCAGCAGCAAAAACGCCCAAGUCAACUUCACUCGCAACAAUAAAGGAUUCAAUAGAAUUCCCUUAAGAUUUUCACGAAGAACAACAGAAGAACGAAGUAAGAACGAGCCUUGAAAGAUGAACAAAAGCAGGAACACUUGAGAGAAAAGUUUGAGUGAAUACUCUCAAAAUUCUUAUUAAUAACUCAAAAUAUAUACAAUGAGCAAAGAGGUCUCUAUUUAUAGUUGAGCCUCACAGUAUAUCAAUAGCUAUAAUUAAAAGCUGAAUACAAUUAGAACUCUAAGCUUACAUAACCAGCUAUAUACAAAUAGAACUCUAAGAUUCCAUAAUUAUAUCUUCUAGAACACUUCCCAUUUCUAUCAGGCUCUUGAGAUGGGCUUUUAAUCUCUCCAAUCACCGGGCCAGUUUGGUUGGGCCAGUUUGGUUGGGCUAAAUGACCUCCCUCGAACACGAUGGAUCGCACCAGUUUGUCAUGGUUGCGAGCACCGACGCGCAACCCAUGACAUUCUCCCCCACUUGUUCUAGCGACGCCCUCGUCGCAUCCUCCUUAUGGAACUAGUCAAUCUUCCCUUGGAACUGCCACAAUGCCUCAGCAGGUUCCCAACUUGCUUCGCUAUCAAGAAGUCCCUUCCAUCGAACUAAGUACUCAUGCUAUGGUCGGUGGUACUUUCGUCUAAUUACCCGAUCUGCCUCAAUGUUUUCUACUUCACGAUCAUACGAGACUUUUACCCCCAUCGGUGCUCGUUCGGACUUGCCUCAAUUCGGAUCUUCUUGAUCCUCAUGAAACGGCUUAAGCAUGCUUACAUGGAAGACUGGGUGUACUUUAAGUUUUGGUGGCAACUCCAGCUUGUAGGCCACCUUGCCCACUCUCUUCACAACUUUAAACGGCCCUUCAUACCUUCGCACAAGACCCUUGUGCAAACCAGUAUAUCGUAAAAUCAAGUGUAGUUUAGCAAGGACUGAGUCACCCACUUGAAAUUGUACAUCCCUUCGGUUCUGAUCGGCCCACUUCUUGCUACGCUUACUUGCUUUGUGUAAACAAGCUCUAGCCAAGCCAUUCUUCUCUUGCCAAUCUUUUACGAAUCUAUAGGCUGCCGGAUUUGGUCCUGUGUAAUGGGUCACAACAGCGUUGGGUGUGAGUGGCUGUUGACCCGUCACUAUUUCAAAUGGACUUUGAUUCGUGGUCCCACUUUGCUGCAAGUUUUAUGAAAAUUGGGCCAUAUCCAGCAACUUUGGCCAAUCCCUUUGUGUGGCACUCACAUAGUGCCGAAGAUACGUCUCCAACAGUGCAUUUACUCGUUCAGUUUGCCCAUCGGUUUGUGGAUGCAUGCUCGUGGAGAAGUUCAAAUCUGAGCCCAUUGACUUGAACAACUCCGUCCAGAACCGACCAGUAAAUCGACCAUCUCGAUCGCUGAUAAUAGAUAGUGGCACUCCCCAAUAUUUCACCACGUGUCUAAGGAAUAACCGAGCUGCUUCCUCAGCAGGGCACUCUUUGGUCGCCGGAAUAAAAGUCGCAUACUUUGAAAACCUGUCCACCACAACAAGAAUACUAGCAAACCCGUCAGACUUAGGCAAACCAAUAAUAAAAUCCAUGGAUAAACUCUCCCAUGGCCUUUCUGGGACUGGCAGGGGUUGAAGCAAGCUGGCUGGAGUCUUUAACUCAACCUUGUAUUGUUGGCACACUAGACAAGUUUUUACAUAGGUUUCCACAUCAGCACCCAUGUGAGGCCAAUAAUAGCGAUCCUCCAAAAGGCCCAAAGUGCGAUGCAUCCCUGGAUGGCCUGCCCAUUUCGAGUCAUGACAUUCCUUCAUGACUUCCUUACGGAGUUUCCCAUAAUAGGGCACAUAGAGGCGGUGUCCAUGAGUGUAUACUAGCUCCCCAUCAAGCCAAAAUCUUCUUGUUUUUCCCUCCUUGGCAAGCUCAAUCAAAUUUUUGGCCGUAGGAUCAUGGGACAAUCCCUCUCGAAUGCGUUCCAACAAAGAGCCAUCAGGUUGACUGAUUGCUGCGAAUUCCAUCUUUCGACUAAGUGCAUCAGCAACAUUGUUGGCACUUCCUGGUUUAUGUUCCAUUGUGAAAUCAAACUCUGCUAGUAAAACCUGCCAACGAGCCUGCUUGGGAGACAACUUUUUCUGGGUUAGAAAGUAACUAUUGGCAACAUUGUUGGUAAGGACCACGAACCUGGAACCCAAUAAAUAAUGUCUCCAUGUGCGCAAGCAGUGUACUACCGCAGUCAUCUCUUUCUCUUAGACCGUAUAUCUACGUUCCGUCUCGUUAAGCUUUCGACUCUCGAAAGCAAUUGGGUGUCCAUCUUGCAUCAGUACUCCCCCAAUAGCAUAAUCUGAUGCAUCUGUACGUACCUCGUAAGGCUUCGUAAAAUCCGGUAAGACAAGUACGGGCUCCCUCGUCAUUUCUUGCUUCAAUUUGUUGAAGGCCUUCUCACAUUCUGGAUUCCAAUCCCAUACCUUCCCCUUCUUCAACAUGUCCGUCAAGGGAGUGGUAAUUUUGGAGUAGCCUUCGACAAAGCGGCGAUAGUAAUUUGCCAAUCCAAGGAAAGAUCUCAACUCUGUUACCUUGGUUGGAGGCUCCCACUCUGAAAUAGCUCGAAUCCUAUUUUUAUCCAUUCGGAUCUUACCGCCUCCCACAAUGUGGCCUAAGAAUGACACCUCUUGUUGGGCAAAUGAGCAUUUCUCCUCCUUGACGAACAGCUCAUUUUCCCUCAAAGUCUGGAACACCUCCCUCAAGUGUCUUACGUGCUCUUCAAGCGACUGGCUAUAGACCACAAUAUCGUCAAGGUAAACAACCACAAAACGAUCAAGAAAGGGUUGAAGUACCUUAUUCAUUAGGGUGCAGAAUGUAGCUGGAGCAAUCGUGAGUCCGAAAGGCAUCACAAGGAACUCAUACGAACCGUACCGUGUCACACAAGCUGUCUUUGGUUCGUCCCCCUCAACUAUCCGAACUUGAUGAUACCCCAAUCUCAAAUCUAACUUGGUAAACCAUCUUGCAUUACCAAGCUGAUCGAACAAAUCUGCGAUAAGAGGAAUAGGAUACCUAUUCUUCACGGUGAUCUUGUUUAGAGCUCGAUAAUCGAUGCACAUUCUUAAGGACCCAUCGUGUUUCUUUUAGAACAACACUGGCGCACCAUAUGGGGAUUUAGAUGGUCUAAUGAAUCCCGCAUCCAAAAGUUCCUUUAAUUGUUUCCGUAACUCUUCUAAUUCUGGCGGAGACAUACGAUAGGGGGCCCUUGCUGGCAGCACCACAUUGGAUACUAACUCGAUUUUGUGGUCCACCUCCCUCUUAGGUGGUAAACUUUUUGGCAACUGAGCAGGCAUUACAUCUCGAAAUGAUUGUAGCAAUUGUCCCACUUUUUUCGGGGUCUCACUAACAGACUCAGCGGUCUCUUCGAUCUUCAAGGUGGCUAAAUAUGAGACUUCAUUUCUCCGUACACCUUUAGCAAACUGAAUUGCUGAUAGUGUUUUUCCCUCAAAGCUUCUUUUCCUUGUCACUUUCACCAUGCAUUAAUGUUUCGCAUCUGAAAUCACCAUGUAAUUGCUCGAAGGGGCAAUAAGAGCUUUAACCUGAUUAAGGAAACUUAGUCCCACCACAAAAUCAUAGUCAUCAAGUGGUAUUACCUUAAUGGAUACCUUCCCUGACCAAUUGCCGAGCUGAAGAUCCACUCCCUUUGCAACCCCCUUGAUUGGAAUACUUUCCGAGUUCACUGUUUUGAUCCAACCCCCUUCAUUAUCUAUCUUGAGGCCUAGUUUACAAGCAGCCUCCUCAGACAUGAAUAAAUCAGAAGCACCUGUCUCGACGAGCGCAUUCAAUUUUCUGUCGGCCACAAUGAUGUCUACAAACAUCAAACCAUGGCUCAUUCUAUCUUCGACACCCCCUAGUAUCGAUCCAAGGUUGUUAUCCUCCACAUCGGACUCCCCCUUUGCUUCCAUAGCCUUGAGAGCGGCCUUCUUUGGACAGUCCUUGAUCAUAUGUGGACCCUCACAGUGGAAGCACCUUAUAGGCCCACUCUUUCUCUUGUCCCAAGGUUUCUUACCAUCGCCGUUCCUAGUGGGCCUUUCUUUAUCUCCCCCACUAUUACCCUUUAAUCUGGGUUUAAAAGAAUUGGAAUUGUCUUUCCUCCCACCAAAUUCAGCAAGUGAUUCUGCUACUGACAUAGCCUUGGUGAGUUCUUGAACUCCUCGGCGCUGCAACUCUUGCUUCGCCCACGAUUUUAAUCCGUCCAUAAAGGAAAAGAAUGCCUCUUUCUCCCCCAUAUCUGAGAUUUGGAGCAUAAGCUCGCUAAACUCCUGUACAUACUCCCUCACAGUGCCUUGUUGCGUAAGCCGACGCAACCUUGUCCGAGCCUCAUCCUCGGCAUACUCUGGGUAAAACUGUGCUUUGAACUCACAUCGAAACUCCUCCCAUGUUUCGAUUUCAGACCCACCACGUCUCACAUCAGUGGACCUACGACGCCACCACAACAAAGCAACGUCAGAUAAAUACAUCGCAGCAGUAGUUACCUUAGUGACAUCCUCCGUGAUGCCUCUGGCACAGAAGUAUUGCUCGAUUCCCCACAAAAAGUUGUCCACAUCUCUUGCGGACCUUGUUCCCUUAAACUCUUUGGGCUUGGGAACAUCAAUAUUGGGCUUGGGUGCGGCAGCCGCUAACCCACCAUUGCCCAAGGCAACCUUGUAGAUUGUGAGUUCACCCUUGAGAUCCGCAAUCUCUCCCUUCAAGGCCACCACCAUAGCCUCAAUGGCAUCAUCUCUACCAGUCAACUGUUUCAUAUUAUCCGUCACAUACUCUUUAAGCUGCUCCUGCAUGGACUGCAGUCCAUCAUGGAGCCUAUCAUCAACAUCUUCAACCCUCUCCUUGAUAUCCCCCAUUGAACUCUCGAGAGUGACGACGCGAUCCUCUAAAGCUGACAAUAUGUCCCUUGAGCGACUGGCUUUCCUAGCCCUCCCAUGGGUCUCCAUUCCCUCAACUUCUUUUGACAUCUUUCAACGGUGGCUUCGAACCUUAGCUCGGAUACCAACUGUCACGGACUUAGAGUUUUCCCACGCGAUCCGUGCGGCCUUAGGCAGUUUCUCUGCUUAAAACGCCUAAGUCAGCCUAACUUGUAACAAAAAAAAAAGAUUCAGCAGCAAAAAUGCCCAAGUCAACUUCACUCGCAACAAUAAAGGAUUCAAUAGAAUUCCCUUAAGAUUUUCACGAAGAACAACAGAAGAACGAAGUAAGAACGAGCCUUGAAAGAUGAACAAAAGCAGGAACACUUGAGAGAAAAUUUUGAGUGAAUACUCUCAAAAUUCUUAUUAAUAACUCAAAAUAUAUACAAUGAGCAAAGAGGUCUCUAUUUAUAGUUGAGCCUCACAGUAUAUCAAUAGCUAUAAUUAAAAGCUGAAUACAAUUAGAACUCUAAGCUUACAUAACCAGCUAUAUACAAAUAGAACUCUAAGAUUCCAUAAUUAUAUCUUCUAGAACACUUCCCAUUUCUAUCAGGCUCUUGAUAUGGGCUUUUAAUCUCUCCAAUCACCGGGCCAGUUUGGUUGGGCCAGUUUGGUUGGGCUAAAUGACCUCCCUUGAACACGAUGGAUCGCACCAGUUUGUCAUGGUUGCGAGCACCGACGCGCAACCCAUGACACUAGGGCACCGUCAUCGCCACCCAUAGCCAUUUGCCACCCAUCCCAUCGAUGUCGCCUUGGGGAGAAAUCAGUAUUGAUUAAAAGAUACUUAAAAAUUAACGUUGAAUGUAAAUACAAAUUAAAUACAAUUCAAUAAUUAGAAAAGGAAAAAGCUUUGUUUAUGAUAUGAACAUAAAGAAAAAUAAAUAAAUAAAGGGCAAAUUAUCAAAAUAAUCACUUUUAUUUUCCUCAGGUUACAUUUUAGUCACUAAGCCAUUAAUUGCUAUUAUCGGUGUAACGAUAAACUAACGUGGCACGUUAAAUCAUCAUUUCAAGCAAAAUUUUUAGGUUACAUUAUACAAUUGGUCUCCAUAUUUUCUCGUUUUGAGGAAUUUUUUUUUCUUUUAUGUUCUUUAAACUUCUUUUUUUUUCUUUUUUUAUUUUCUUCUGCUUCUCCCUCUAUUUUUUCUCCCUUCUCCAUCUUUUUUAACGUAAAAGAAAAAAAUUAAAUUGCUUAAAACGAAAAAAAUACAGGGACCAAUUGUAUAAUUUAACCUAAAUUUUUUUGUUUAAAAUGAUGAUUUAACGUGGCAUGUCAGCUAAUUACUGUUACACAGUUAAUAGUAAUUAACAUUCAAUAACUAAAAUGUUAAAAUACAAUAAUAUAAGUGAGUAAAAAAUAAUAUUUUAAACAUAAAUGACUAAAUAAUAGAAUUGUAAAUAAAUAAGAAAAAAUGAUAGUUAAUAAUAGAAUUGUUCACAACUUAAAAAAUGGGAGAUAAAACUCAUAAAGCUCAAGUAUGAACUAUAAUAAUACAUGUUUGAGUGUCGAGUCUUGAGACUUUGUAGGCUUUGGGUCUUUGUAUGUCCUCAACCAAUCCAAACAUGAUAUUUAAAUUUGAAGGAAUUUUCCGCACUCCAGUCCUGUCCCUGUCCUUGUCUCGUUAUCAAAUUCAUGGCCUUAUUUUCCACAAGGUUAGACAUAAUUGCGUGUCUCCAUCAGUAUUGACUUUAUAAACUUUGGGACGGUAUUCUUAACCAAUCCGAACCUGGCACAUCUUUUCUAAAUUAGACUUUUUUUGGCACUCCAAUCUUUGGGUCUGCUCCUUAUUUAUUUUCCAUAGAAAAAUCAAAGUUAGCUUCUUGACUGGGUCUAUGCAUUACCGGAUUUUCCACAAGGUAGACAAUGAGCGAUGCUUUAACUCUAAAACAUUGGGACUUCAUCUUAACCAAUCCGAACAUGGCAGAUAUUUCCUAAAUUGGACUUCUUUUGGCACUCCAUUCUUGAGCCUCGUCACCAUUCUUUAUUAUGAAGUUGCUCCUCAUUUACCACAGAAAACUGACGUCUUUUUUUACUGGGCUAUUUCAGCAAUUGUAUCGGGCCACGAAUAUACUCAAACUAAAAAUAUAUAUUUAUAUUGAUUUCAUGGCGCGCAUUCGACAAAUUGCUGAAGCUCUCAAUUGGGAGUUGUUUUGUGAGAAAAGACCGAGUGCAGAUGAGGAACUAGUUCGUGAAUUUUAUGCGAAUUUGACCUCAAAUGAAUUGACGAAAUUUUUUUCUGGAGGAAUCAAGGUACCAAUAACCCCAAACGCUAUUAAUAAAUUCUUUGAAUUACCUAAUUUCGAAGAUGAUAAAUAUUCUUCCUUGAUGAGAAAUAUUGAGACUAAAAAUCUGUAAGAUAUUCUCGAGGAACUUAGAGUUCCAGGUUCUAAGUGGAUUGUGUCAAAGUAAGGAAUCCACACUUGUCGCAGAGAAUAUUUGACACCACUAGCGAAUGUAUGGUUCUAUUUCAUUCGAUUUAGUCUUAUGCCUAUUUCACAUGGGACUACAAUUUUAUUAGAGCGAAUGAUCUUAUUAUACUCGAUUUUAACUGGAAAGACCAUUGAUGUGGGAAAUAUCAUUUUGAGAGAAAUACGAAAUUAUGUCACUAGACGUUCUAGCCUAGCUUACUUUCCCUUUUAUGAUAACAAUUUUGUGCUUGAAAGCUAAAAUUCUUACAAACGUAAAGAAGACAGGUUAUAGCUAGGGCACAAUCACAGAUUGGGACCUCUACCGAAUAACCGGAGAUUCUAUUCUUCGGCAACGAAUUGAAGAGAGUGAGGAUCCCGAAGAAGAAAAAUAUCCCAUGGAGAUCAAACUAAUGCAGUCAGUUGAAAUCCCUAAUAAGGCAGAACCAACGGAACCAACAACCGAACCUAACAUGACAACCUCAAUGUUUAGAACUCAACCACCUCGUCCAGAUCUUCGAGAAGAGCUGUCAAAAUUGAUGGACAUAAUGCAACAUAUGUAGUGGCAGCAACAAGCUUAUUGGAGAUAUUCAAAAAUACGGGAUGACUCAAUGAGAAGCGCUCUAACAAAAAUAUACAAUGACCCGUUUAUUUUUGUGCCUAAGUUUCCAGAUUUCAUAUUUGAACCAUGGAGUCCACUAUCAAAGAGCGAGCGAAGUGAUUCAUGCAAAAACAAAGCUUAUGGAGCAAAAGAUGAGUCGAAUUCUGAGGGAUCUGCAAAUAAAUAAAAAAGAGGGGGAUCUUAACUUUGUUUUAUUUUUGUUCUUAGGUUAUUUAAUGUUUUAGGAUUAGGUUCUAUUAGGAUUUUUUUUAUCGCAUAAUAAAAUAAGAGAUGGAAAUCAUAAAUAAAAAUGAACAAGUUGCAAAGUACAAAGUAUGAAUAAAAUUCUAUUAUUUCAAUAAUUUUUAUAUUAGUAGAAUUAUGACAUAAAUGUAUUCUUAAUAAAGCAUGCAAAUCAUACCAUAAAAUUUUUAGUUUCUUAAGAAAGUUAGGCAUGAAAGUUUAAGUCUCUAGGAUUAACUUAGUAGUUUCUUGAGGCGAAAUCCUAGGAAGCAUGGAAUGUUCAAAAUGAUUUAGCCAACUUUUUUUUGGACUGUUUGAUCCUUUCAAGCCAAGCUUGAUGAAUUUUUAUCCCUUGAAACCCAACUUUGAGACUAUAUGGCCUAAUUUUAUUUGAACCUUUGCAAUAUUUAGCCAUCACUUCUCUCUAGUCAUCUUUAAAUUAUCUCAAACAUUAGACUCAGUACUAUUCAAAAUAUUCUUUGAAAAUAAGUUUGGGGGAGUUGAAAAGAAGCACCAAAUUCUCCAAAAAUUAUAGUAUAUACAGCAAAAUGCUCGUGAAAAAAAAAAGAGAAGAGCAUAUGUACUUGAAAGAAAAUAGAUGUGCAAAAGAGUAUGUGAGAGCAAAAUAAUUUGGUGUAUUGAAGGUAAAUAUUCUGAAGGUCUGAAUGAAGUUGAGUCUAGGGUUUUUAGCCAAAAUUUAUCUAUCUUUUACCUACCCUAGCCUAGCCACGUUACAACCUAUUUAAAAGACCUAUUGAUUCAAGUUUCUGGGCUACCUACAUUAGUGGAGAGAAAUUAAUAUGUUCAACAUAUGAAGGCAUAAAUUAAACUUGAUGAUUGCAGCUUAACCUUAAAUAAGGGAAUAAAACCAAAUUGGUAGGUAUUUAACAUGUCUUUAUUGAGUAAGCAUUUAGUUUAUUUUUAUUUUUAUUUUUAUUUUUGCUAUCAUAAUAGUAAUUGAGAUUAAUUUGAAUGAUAUAUAUACUUAAGUAGCAUAAAUAUCAAAUUUCUUAUUCUUGAGCAUAAGUAUACUAAAUUCAUAAUUUUGGGAAGAAUGUUGUUCUGAAGUAAUUUUUUAAAGGUGUUUCCGAGAAAUUCUUUUCAAUUUGUGCAUUACUUGGGACGAGCAAUGAAUUAAGUUUGGGGGUGUGGAAACACGAAAAUAUACACACUUUUCCAUGCCAUUUUUAACUCAAAUUCAUGUAAAUUUGUAGUAAUUCUUGUAGAAAAAUAUAUAAUAAUUAUAAAAUAAUUAAAUUGUACUUAAAUUAUUAACAUGUUGAAUUUUAAUUAAUUUUAUAAUAAAUUUUGCUUAAUUUUGAACAUUUUCGGCAGAUUUGCACAAAGGGCAAAAAUUGGCUCAGCAAACAUUGCUAGAAGCGCAAAACUAAGAAGCGAUUUUUGAAGCAUUGAGGCGAAUUAAUUUUUCAGCCGAAGACGGUUCAAAUUAUGAAUAUUAAUUCAUAAUAUAAUUAAUUUUAAUUUUAAUCCAAUUUACUUUGGGUUAAAUAAUUAUUAUUAAUUAAUUAUGAAAAGAGGCCCAAUUGAGCUGAACCGAGAAAGCCGAUCCAACCGAGCACUGGGAUGCCUAAAACCGUCCCACAUGCCGACCCAAUCAGCUUAUUUGGCUGAUUAUUUGGAUUGAAAAUAGCCCUUGAAGACUCCUUGAAUUUGCAUCUAAACCCCUCCAAUAUUCAUGCCUUUCUAGAUUUGUCCCUACCUUAAAAUAGCAGGUUUGAAACCUUCAAACUUGCCACAUGUGUGGCUAGUCAUGGGAGGACUCUAUGGCUGCUGAUUUUUUCUAUUUUUAUUAGCCUACUCAACCUAUAAAACCCCCCUUGGCUGCUCAUUUGAAACACAUCUCAAAACCUCUCAUCCUUUCACUUCUCUCCCACUUUCUCUCUUCAAUCCCCUUCCGUUGUUCUUCAUUUUCUUCCCCAUUUCCUUGUCGAUUUCACCUCUUGAAAAAUAUUCCUUCAACCACCAUUUGGAGCAGCAUUCAACUGUUCGUGGAAGUCUUGGUUCAACAAGAACAAGCAGAGAAUGAGGAGCAAAGCAACUUAGUCAAGCCUCGAAGAAACAUCGGAUUUGAUUCUUGUUCCUUAUCCCUUUAAUUGUAUUGUUGUUGUUAUGAACAUUUCAAUGAAUAAUUGUGAUGUUGAUAUGUUUAAUUUAAUUAAUAUGGCUUAAAUUUAAUUCGUGUUAGGUUAAUUGCAUUUUGUCCACUUAAUUUAUUAAAAUUGUGCUUGUGUUGUUAUAAGCCUUGGUAAGAUGUUUGAUUAAGUAAAACCAUGACUAAGUUAUUCUUGCAUUACAAUUGUAAGGUAACUAAUGAAUUAAUUAUUUAAACGGAUUGAAAUUGUAAUUAAUUGACACGAUACUUAAUCAGUGCAUGUUUAAUCAUCUAAAGUAGCUAAAGGUUAAAUUAGCAACGGUAUCUAACGAUACAUUAGCCUUGCAUAACUUGCAAGAUUAUUGUGAUUAAAUUGUUUCAAGGUAGGAAUACAUUGUUACCUCACGUAAUCUUUUAUGUGCUUAUGAGAUUGAAUUAAUUGUUUGAAUUGGCAUAGAGAUAUGUACAAGAGAUUAUUUUUAAUUUCAUAAGUAUGUAUAUGCAUUAACGCAUUUGCUUAUUAAAAUUUGUUUAAUCAGUUGAAUUGACAUAGAGAUAUAGUCAAGAAAUAAAUGGAUUUUUGUAGGUGAGUAUGUUCAUAAGUUAGCAAAUUACCAAGUGCCCGUGAAUUUAUUCGUAACAACAUGAACAUGAGUUUAGUAAUUCUAAGUUAAGAAAAGUAAUUAAUCUAACACAAUUAUGUCAUCUUGAUUAAAAUCAUCUUUUGAAAUCGUGGAUUGAAACUUUUAUUUCCUCUUUAUUUAUUUUACUUAGGUAAAAAUCUUAGUUUUUAAUCACCUACUCAAAUCAAAAUAUUUUUCUUUGCCAAAGUGUUUUUAAUUGCAUUCAUAAAUAAUUAUUUUCACAGUCCCUGUGGGUAUGAUAACUUGACAUUUACUUGUCACUUUAUUACUUGUUGCGAUUGUGUACACUUGCACAUUUCCGUAGUUCCACUAACUCUAAUAAUGCUGAAUGCGAUACUCAAGUAUCUGAGUAAAGAUGUUGCUAAGGAUGAGUAGAAACUCAUAAAUGUAUGAAUAAAUGUUUUAUAAUGUAUUCUAAUGAUGAAUUUUAUGUUAUAUGUAUUUAUAUGAUAAUCAAAUUUUGAGGCUUUACAGUCUUAUACAAUGGAAUUCACAAGAUUUAUCUUGAUUAAGCUUACAAGUGUGAAACCAAAGAGUUCAAUGGCUAAACGAAUAAUAAUGCAGCCAAAGCCAAGGAUUGAUUAGCAAAUUAAGAGAAUUAUAGAAGAGAUAUUAUAAUUUUCUAAAGAUCAUUCGGGAUCCACAACGUCGCCGUUAAAUAAGAAGUUAUUCGCGAAUAAUUGACUUAUUCAGGUGUGGCAUCUAAAGAAUAGAUUAAUCAAAAUUUCUUCUAAAUUGAUUUCUUUAGUGAAUGGGAUAAUGUGGGAUUAUUGAUGACUAUAGUAGUCAGUGAAAUAAUGUUUGAACUGAAAAGAUAUUUGAAUGCAGCGGUUAUAGUCGAGUAUCUUAUGACGAUCUUUUCUGGGUAUUCUGUAUGUUCUUUUAUCCUCAGAGGUAUAUGUAAUGAUUUAUUUUCAGAUGUGAUUCUUAUCAUCUGAGAACGCUAGCUAACCAUAAUGUUAGACGGAAGUAUUGUUAGGCUGGUUGAUUUAUGAUCGGCAUUAUUUUAUCUUUCUUUGGUGUUCUAUUCCAUUAUGUUUGGUAGAAAAUUCGACGAUAAAACUCAUAUGAUGCUAUUAUUCUAUUUCUACUGGUUAUUGCUCUAAAUUAUAUAUGUGAUUUAUGUUGUCUCUAUGACAACUGAUUCUAGUGAGCAUGAGCGGUAUUCUUCUUCUAGAUUUUCUUUGAGGGAUCAUCGAUCUCUUUACCAUUCAAUAUAGGUUGUAAUCUCAAAAAAGAGCUUCACAUCUUGGAUUUAAUUAUCUCGGUUUUCUUAUCAUUUUUAUGGUCUAAUUUUAUCUAUCAAACAUGGUUCAUUUCGAAAGGAUAUUCAUUGGUCCAAGGUAAUUACAUUUAUUACGGUUAUAAAUCCUGGUUCGAUCAUGGGAGCUCGAUGAUAUAGAUCUCAGAUUAUAAAGGUUGUGUUCCUGCAUUGGUUGUAUUAGGACUACCUUCGAUUUUCCUCUUCUAUUUAGGAGUGCACUAUUGAUAUUGAGGUAUUGUUCUAUCUAUAUGAUUGAAACGUCGGUCUUAUUAUAGCACUAUGGUUUUAAUCUAUCUGAUGGUUAUGGCUCCGGUAUGGGUCAAAGCUUUGAUGUUAAUAAGUGAAAUAGCUUUAUUAUAUUCCCUUUCUAGCUUUCGUGAAGGGGAGGCAUCGAAAAAAGUGUAGACGGUGGAAGAUUGAGCUCAAACUUGUAUAUUGGUUCUCAUUCUUCAGGUAAUCUUGAUUAUGUCAACAAGUUAAAACAGGAUGUUAUGUUUCGUUUGAGUUAAUGCAGUUUGUAGAAAUCUUUGAUUGGUAUUCUAAGUAAAUUAUGAUAGAUUGUAUGUAUGGGUUGUCUUGACCAUAAGAAGAAGGGAUUAUUCUGAAAAUUAUUAUCCGAUACAUAAAAUCGACUCAGUUGUUUUAAUCAGAGUAGGUUAUUCAUUUGAAAAUUUAAUUGAGUUAUACGCAUUUGAGUUUAUCCUUAGAUCCGGGAAUAAAUUUAGUGCAUUCAUGGGUAAAUUAACAAAUAGUCAGAAUGAGGGAUUCAUAUUCUAGAAGACAUGAUACAAAAAUAUAUCUAUCAGAACAGUUCUAAUCAGGAAAUGUUAUUAUGGGUUAGAGUCGUCUUGAUAGUUGAAGCUGUAGCGCCUGUGUUAAACGAUAUUGAUUGACGCUUUCCACGUAAAGGGAACAAAUAUCAGUUGAAAGUGUAACACCCCUUACCCGAGACCGUUUCCGGAGUCGAGCACGAGGCAUUACUUAGCUUAUCUUACCAAUUCGGAGCAUAAAAACUAGGUUUGAAAAUUUAUUUCAUUAUUCGCAGCAAUUCUGUCCAAUCGCACAGCAGUUACUAAAUUAAUUAUAAAUUGAGAUACAAAACUCGAAAUUUAAUUCCGUAAAUUUUCCCUGAAACUAGACUCAUAUAUCUACUCACCAUAAAAUUUUUAGAAUUUUUGGUUCAGCAAAUUAGUACAGUUUAUUAGUUAAAGUCUCCCCUGUUUCACCACCUGACUGCCCUGACCUCUAGUCACUAAAAAUAAGUUUUCUCACUGUAGGAUUUUCAUAUGAAGUUCUUACUUGUUUCUACAGAAAAUAGACUCAUUAAGGAAUCUAAGCAUAUAAAUUUCAACUCAUAACCAUUUUUUUACAAUUUGUAAUUAUUUUCUAAACUCAGAACAGGGGACUCCAAAAACAGUUUUGACCCUAUCUUACUAAAAUUCACAUAUCUUAAAAUAUAAAUUUCCUUUUUCUACACCAUUAUUUGUCCAUGAAAAUAGACUCAACAAGCUUUAAUUCCAUAUAUCAUUCACCCUCUAAUUCAUUUUAUACUAUCUUGGGUGAUUUUUCAAAUUCACGUCACUGUGCUGCCUGAAUUCUGUUUCUUUGCAAAAUUUUAUCCUUUCAUGAUUUCCAUGCAUAAUUUAUCACCUAAUCUUUCAUAACAACAAACACCUUCAUCCUUAACCAUUUUAAUAACCAUACAUCAUCAAAUAACACAUCACUCAUUAGCAAAAUCAUCAUUAUAAACAUACAAAAUAACUAAAUCCCUAUACAUGCCAUAACUCAAACGUGUUUCGAUAUAAAAUACCGAGCAGUUGUAGUUGAUAGUGUGGACGAUCUCCGACUUCUUUAGGAUCCUUGAAGUAGCUUUGCAAUACUAUAAGAGAAAGAGAAAUAAAAGAAGUAAGCAUAAAGCUUAGUAAGUUUACUAGCAAAUAAAUAACAAUAUUUAACUUAAAUAAUUAAACUCAAUGUCUAUAUCUCUAGUUUACUCUUUAGUUAAUCUCAUACUAGUUCUCUUACUUGUUUACUUAAAAUACUUGUGUGCAUAACUUACUCAAUCCUUGCUGCAUCGUUGAACAUCAAUUGAUAGUAUAAUAAGUUCUUAAGUCUUACAACUUACCUGAGCUUGCCAUUUAUGCUUUAAACUGAACUUUCAUGAACAUGAUUCGUUUACAAGCCCGUUGAGCUACAUUGGAAUAAUAAGGAUACUCGGGUCUCUUCUGAUAAUAACAUGCCAAAGCCAUGUCCCAGACAUGGUCUUACAUGGGAUGUUCUCGUGAUGGUGCCCAUGCCAUGUCCCAGACAUGGUCUUAUAGGGGACCUCUCAUCUCGGUGCCAACGCCAUGUCCCAGACAUGGUCUUACAUAGGACCUCUCGUCUCGGUGCCCAUGCCAUGUCCCAGACAUGGUCUUACAGGGGACCUCUCAUGAUCUUAAGGAUGCCAAUGCCAUGUCCCAGACAUGGUCUUACAUGGGAUCUCUUUACCCAAAUGUCAUGACAUUCGUAUCCAGUACCAUCCUUAUGUAUCAACGAGACUUUUAAAUUUUAAUUCUCUAUCAUUUCAUGCUUGGAUCAUCAUCAAAUAAAUUCAUAAAAUAAAUUCAUAAUUGCUGGAAAUUAACAGCAUUAAUAAUAAAUAUUGAAAUAUUGCAUUUAUUUACCGUAAACUUACCUCGGUACCAAUUAUAGCCAAAUUCACCAACUUAGUCUUCAACUUUAUUCUUCCCUUUGUCUAACCUCGAGUUUCGUACUUCUUGAUCUAAAAUAGUAAAUUUAACUUAUUUAAUAAUCACAUUCAUUAAAACAGCCCUCGACUCUAACUUUUUCAAAAUUACAAUUUUGCCCCUAAACUUUUACAUAAUUACAUUUUUGCCCUAAGGCUCGGAAAUUAAAAUUCAUCUCUUAUUCUUAUGUUUUAUAACAUUUUGAACAUUUUUCCCUUCUAUGGCAACAUCAAAUUCCCACUCUAACAUGUACUUAUGAACAUUAGGUAUUUUUACCGAUUAUGUCGUUUUACUCGUUUUCACUUAAAAUCGCUUAGCAAAAGUUGUUUAACAUAAUUUCUAGCUUCAUAUUCUAUCAUAAAACAUCAAAAUAAACAAUUUUCACCUAUGGGUAUUUUUCCAAAUAUAAACCCUAGGUUAAAUUAUUGCUAGAAUAAGCUAAAUUAAGCUACCGGGAUCUCAAAAACGUAAAGAACAUUAAAAACGGGGCUUGGGAUCACUUACUAUGGAGCUUGGAAGCUUGAAAACCCUAACUAUGGCUUCCCCCCUUGCUGAUUUCGUUCAUAUGAAGAAGAUGAUGAUUUUUGCCAUCUUUUUCCCUUUUAAUUCAUUUUAAUUACUAGAUUACCAAAUUGCCCUUAACUUAAAAUUUUUCUAUUUCACUUAUCUCAUGUCCAUUUUUGUCUACCAAGUUACCAAUGGUAUAAUUAUCAUAUAAAGACCUCCAAUUUAAAGUUUCAUAACAAUUGGACACCUCUAACAUGUAGAACUCAACUUUUUCACUUUUUACAAUUUAGUCCUUUUGACUAAAUUGAGUGCCCAAACGUCGAAAUUUUCGAACGAAAUUUUCAAAAAAUCAUUUUGUGAAAUUGUAGACCAUAAAAAUAUAAGAAAAAUAAAAUUUUUCUCAUCGAAUUUGUGGUCCCGAAACCACUGUUCCGAUAACCUCAAAUUUGGGCCAUUACAGAAAGUCAUAGAUGCAAACAUGUCAAAAGCUUCAGUUAGAGUUUGAUAAUCUGGUUUUCUCAGUUAUGUUUUAACAGACGAUCACUAAGGAAUCUCUCGGUAGUUAUACUUCUAAUGAUAAAGUGAUUGACACACGGCCGUGUGACCCCUGCAGUUUAAAAAAUUCCCUCCUUUUCUAUAAAAAUUCUAUAUGUUUCUUAUUUAGUCCCAACUUGUUUCUAAUGUGUUUUUAGGGCCUCGAAGGCUCGUAUAAGGGACAAUAUGAAUGAUAUUGAUUGAUUUUGCUAUGAUUAAUGUUGAGUUAUUAAAUGAUUAAAAUUUUUUAUAGUUGAAACGUAAACUCCGGUAAUGCUUCGUAACCCUAUUUCGACGAUGAAUACGGGUUAGGGGUGUUACAGUCUACGACACGGCCGUCUGACCUAAGUCAUUGAGUUAUACUGUUUAAGACACAGGUUGAGACAAAGCCGUGUGUCCCAUUGUUCGAAUACCACACGGUCUGGGCUAUGUCACAUGGCUGUGUGACCCCUGUUUUCAAAAUUUUUAACUUUUCCCCAAAUUUUUUAAAUUAUUUUAAUUUAGUCCUAAAUUAAUUCCAAACUAUUUUUAGGGUCUCAAGGGCUCGAUUUAAGGCCCAAAUGUAUAUGUUUGCUAGGUUUGUAAUGAGUUUUAGGUAAUUAAUGUUAAAUGACAUUAUUGAUCUAUUUUGAAGUUAAUUGUUUGGAUUUGUAUGAUAAUGCUCCGUAACCCUAAUCCGAUGACAGAAAUAGGUUAGGGGUUUUACAAAAUAGGUGGUCAAGGCAUACGAUGUUAAAAUUAGUAGAGAUGUUAAAGAAAUUUUAAGCAAUAUUUUUUAGGGUAAACUAUAAAAUACUCACCCAACUAUUAGCGUAUUUCUAUUUUGGUCACAAAAGUUUAAAAUUUUCUAUUAGUCACCAACAUUUUCAAAAUUUAAUAAUUUGGUCACUCAUUUGUUAAAUCAUUGACAGAAGCCUUUUUUUCAUUGGCAUAAUAACAAAUUUAUCCUUCCAAUAUUUUAAAAAUUAUCAAUUUGGUCCAAAUUCUAAAAAAUUCAACAAAUUCAACCAUCAACUUUAUAAAUUCUACCAAUUUAGUUUGAUUCUUAAAAAUUAAAAACAUUAAAAAUAAAAAUAUUUAAAAGUUCAUUUAUCGAUAAAAAUACAUAAAAAAUUAUUAAUAAGUUAAAAAUAAAUGAAUACCUAUUUUUUCUCUUUCUAACAUGAAAUUUAUUUAUUAAAUAUUAUUGGCUUAAGGGUAAAAAACUCCCUUAGUAAAAAAUAAAAAUGCAAUUAAUGUAACAACCCGUUUUUUAGUGGUGUCGAAAACAAUGGUUUCGGGAUCACACUUCCAACAUUUGAGUCUGUAAAUAUUAAUUAUUUAAUAUUCUAAUAUUUAUGAGGUCCUUAGGGUCAUAUUAAAUUUUGGUUAGGGAAUUUUAACAUUUAGAUAGUUAAUUAAAGAAAAAGGAUUAAUUCGUAAAAGAUGUAAAACUUUAUUGCUAUUGAUUUAUAAUGAUUAAAUGGUUUAAUUAUCAUAGGUGGAAGGACUUAAAUGGUAAUUAUACCAUUUUUAUAUAGUGGGACGGUUAAUAAGUGAAUUUUUAUACAUUUUAUAUGUUAAUUUUUAAGAUUAAAUUAAUAAUAAAGUAUUAAAACAUAAAAAAAAUGGUCAUCUUCCAAAUCUUCCAUCGAUUUUGAACAAGAAAAACCUCCAUUGAAGAGUUUGAAGGCUUGGCUAUGGUUAACCCUUGCAUGUAAGUUCGUUUUGAGUUUAUUUCUUUUAAUUUUUAUGUUUUUGAUAUCGUUGCAACUAGUUCAAGCAAACCCGUACCUCCAUUUUCAAAAACAUUAAAUGUUUUAGAAUGUGCCAUGGAUGAGUUUGAGCUGUUUGUGAAAAUUUGUGGCAGAUUACUCAACUUGGUUGCUGAAUAGGAUUAUUUUGUAAAGUAAUUUUUGUUGAUUUUAAUGUUAAAGGACUAAAUUGUUUAAAUGGUAAAAAUUUAUAGUAUUGUUGUGAAAUUAUGUUAAAUAGAGGGUUUUAUAGAUGCAACACCCCUAACUCGUAUCCGUUGCCGGAAUAGGGUUACAGAGCAUUACCAAAGGUUACAUUUCAAAACAAACAAAAAUUUUAAACAUUUUAAUUCAUAUCACUAAUAAUAGCAAAACCAAACAAUAACAUGCAUAUCGUCCCUUAUAUGAGCCCUCGAGGCCCUAAAAACACAUUGAAAACAAGUCGAGACUAAAUCAGAAACAUUUAGAAUUUUUCAAAAAAAGAUGAAAAUCUUCAAACUGCAGGGGUCACAUGGCCGAGAGACACACCCAUGUCUCAGGCCGUGUGGGCAUUCAAAAAUAGGGACACACAGCCGUAUCUCAGCCCGUGUCCAUGCCCGUGUAACUCUCUAACUUAGGUCACACAGCCAAACCACACGCCCGUGUGCUAGGCAGUGUAACUCUCGAAAUGCAACCUGUAAAAACCUACAGGGGACACACAGCCAUGUCGCCUGAAUGUGUGUCACAUACAGCUGAGAUACACGCCCGUGUCUCUGACAGUGUUGACGAAAAAUAGGUCAUUUUCAAGCCAUUUUUCUCACCCAUUCAUGCACACACAUAUAACCAAUUUACCACAGGUAAUCAAGCACUCCAAAGUGCACCAAACCAUGCUAUAGCAAGCUAUCCAAUUAAGAUACAUAAGCAUACAACCAAUGUGUCCAAAAAGUGCCUCAAUCACAAUCAUUAAACAUGUAUAUCCAUAUACAUAAAUUGGCUAAAAGUUCAACUAACUUAUAACUAAACUUAUGCCAUAACUUACCACUUUGUUUACCUAUCAAAUUUCACACUAAAAGUACCAAACAUUGCAUUUUACAUCUAGCACCAAUAACCAUACAUGUCAUCUAUAACAAUUAUACCAAUUCACCACAUUCAAACAUAUCAAAAGACCAUAUCAACUCCAACCAUCAAGGCCAUUUAAAUGACACAAAUCUAACCACAUCUAGAUGGUUCCAAUAAUCAACAUGUAUACAAACCAUAUUUCAACCAUACACAUCUAUUCAAAACCUUUCCAUGGCAUACCAUAUCGUGACCAUGUUGAGGUCAAUUCAUCAUAUAUCACUUUGGUCGUUCAAACAUGCUUUAACACACUAUCAAAUUAACGUAUAUCAACAAGGCACCAAAUGUACCAAGGCUAAAAUGACAUAUACAUGCCAAACACAUCAAUUAACAUUUAACUAAUCAUAAACCAUAAGUUCACCUAUACAUUCCAUUAUAACCUUAACCAAAAUAUCAGAAUCUACUGAUAUAACUGUUAGAUAAUGUGAUAGAUCUCCGAUGAACUUCCAACCCGAUCAAGCUUCCGAUAAUCUAAAAAGUAACAGAAAAACAACUACGUAAGCAAUGAAUUCUUAUUAAGCUCGUAUAAACUUUAGUCAUAUCAAUCCAUUUCAAAUAUGAGAUUUAUACAUAUCAAGAAUAAUCAUAUAACAAUAUUGUAAGGUUCAUAAAACCAUAUCCAACAACUCAUGAAGUGAAUAAAUCCACAGCAUUACAUAUACAUAUUAUCCCUAGCAUAGUAGGACUUUAUAAAACUUUAAACCCUUUCAAAUUUUCUUAUUUUCAUUUUCAUUUCAUUACUUUCUAUUGCAUUUACUCUCAUUUGCUCAAAUAACAACAUCAAUUCAAUUCAUCAUUCCCUUUUUCAUCAUUCUACACUUCAAGUAUGAACUUACUAUUUCAUUACCUUUCCACACCCGUUUCAUAUGCAUAACACACAAGGCAUAAGCAUAUCAUUCACUCAUAGCCACAAGCUAGUGCAUUAAAACAUAACUCCUUUUGGAAUUAGUCACAUGAUAAACCAUUUCACAAGAAAUUACAUAAUUUAAACCUUACCACUCUUUCACGAACACAAGUAUGUUUCCAUUAGAGCACUUACCAUUUCAAUGCAACUUAUAAGUAAACAUAAUACCAUUCAAUCAAUAGCUUGGCACAUGCCUAAGCAUCAAACAACAGCACAUGUUAGCCAUGUAAAUACAUAUAUAAACCAAUAAUCAUGGAUGAGCACAAAAAUUGAUAAAUUUUCAUAUACAUGUAUCAUCCAAUUCAAUUUUUCCAUCUACCAUGUAACAAUAUUUCCAUGUAAUUCAUAUGUGUCUGUGUCAUAGUCCGUAUUGAACUCUUAUCAUUUCGUAUCAGAAUAUUUCCCGUCGAACCAUUUAGAAUAUCAUUGGAUACUCGAGAUAGCUCACACAUAGUGUGCUAAACUGUAAUAUAUCAAUUCCUGUACAUGUAUGCUCCUAUGAGCUAUGAAUUAAUAUGUUCUCACGAGUUGUAAAUCGUUAAGCUUAUAUGAGGUGGGAAUCGGUAAGCUCUCAGGAGCUGAAAUCGAUAAGCUUAUACGAGGUAAAAAUCGAUAAGCUCUCACGAGCUAAAAUCAAUUAUCCCUAAUGACAUGUCACUGGUAUCUUUCAAAUUCCUAAUGUUCAAACAAGGCUCGUUAAUUGUCAUACGUCGUUGAAUUUACGUCGGUUUAUAGCACGGUAAAUUGCAUACUAGUAUAUAUUGAUUUAAUCACAAUAUAAUCACAUAUUAACAUUCAUUUUAAUCAAGAUUAUAAGAAUACAGUUCAUAUGAACUUACCUAGCUAAGUUGCAGAAAUACAAAAGUUUAAGGGCAUUUUGAUAAUUUUCUAUUUUCCUCCAUUUUCCACCCUAUAUUGAUCUAAAUUAAUAAUUUCAUUCAAUAUAUUAAUUUAGAAAAAAAAUUCAUUUCAUACAAUUUGAUCAUUUUUGAAAUUUUUACAAAAUUACCCCUAAAGUUUUACUUUUAUUCAAUUUAGUCCCUAAGCCCAAAACAUGCAAAUUAACCAUUUUUACCCAAAAUUGAACCUAUCUGAAUACUUGUGGCAUCAAAUGUAGCACACUAUUGCAAUAAUUGCACAUCAAUUCUGUGUACUUUUACUAUUUUAACAAUUUAGUCCCUAAUUAAAAAAUUCAUCAAAAAUCACUUAAUAAAAUACUUUUAAACAUCAACCAACAUUUCAAAUUCAUCAUGUAACAUAUAAAAUUUUAAGGUUCCAUCAAUGGCAACAUUCAAAAUCUUUAACAGUUUCAAAAUCGAAGGUACAGGCUAGCUGGACCUAGUUGCAAUGAUCUUAGAAACAUAAAAACAUAAAAGAAAUAAACCCAAAUUUAGCUUACAUGCAAAGGAGGACAUGGCCGAGUGUUUAAUCUAUCAUCCAUGGCUUCCUUCAUUCUCCAAUUUCGGCAAAACUAAAGAACAAAGAUGAUAGCAUAAUUGUUUUAUUUUUAAUAUAAUAUAAUUUAUCAAAUUACCAUUUUAACAUUAAUAAUUAAAAUAAACAAAAAAUUCAAGCCCAUAAUUUUCCACUAACACAAUGAAUGGCCUAAUUACCAUUUAAGUCUUUUUUCCUUUAUUCAAUUACUCAUUUAAUCACUCAAAUCAAAUAGCGAUCAAAUUUUACAUCUUUUACGAUUUAGUCCUUUUUAAUUAAUUAACUAUUGAAACGUUAAAAUUUUUCAACGAAACUUUAAAACCACUUUAAUGACACUCUGUAAAUAUUUAAAAAUAUUUAUGACUCGGUUUAUAGAAACGAGGUCCCGAUACCUCAUUUUCUAAAACCACUUUACCUCAGGGUCUUACCACUUGAACUUAAUUAAUCCUCGGAAGAGUAUAGAUUAUCAAAUCAAAAACCUUUUCAAAGUCACAAUUAACUCAUAAAUAUUAAAUAAUAAUAUUUACGAACUUAUUCAUCAGAUUUGGUGGCCCCGAAACCAUUAUUUCUGACACAACUAAAAAAUGGGCUGUUAUAAUAGAAACCCUAAGUACUCGGAUGGUAUGAGUUUUUUCAAAUAAGGUUAAUUUUUUAAAUUUUCAGGUUUAGGGAUUAAAUUGAAUAAAGUGUAAAAUUUUGAGGCAAAUGUGAAAAAUUGUAAAUAGAAAGGAAUAUGUAUUAAAUUGAAUGAUACAUGAAAUUGAAGCUAAUAAAGUGAAGUAAACUAUUUUAUAGAUCAAGAACAAGUAGAUAACCGAGGAAAAGGGAAAGUUGCUGACUAGUCCCUGAACUUUUACAAACUCUACAAUUUAGGCCUAGUAAGUUCGUUCAAUUUAUUUUAAUAAAUUUUGAAAUGUACAUUGAUUAUGAAAUUGGUUAUUGAAUAUUUUAGUGAAUUUUUUAUUAUAAACUAUUGUAAAUUUAGAAAACAAUUGCUUUGAACUUUGUUAAACGACGUUGUGUUUUAAGCUAGAUGAACAUAGUAUAUAGUACAAUUGGCAUACCAAUAGGUUAUGUCGCGCAUAGUAUGGGGCUGAUUUGAGAUGAGACGAUGAUUCAUGACUUGUUAUUGUACACUUAACAUAGUCCAGCAUUUGUUGUGGGCUAUUGCUAAAUAUUACAGUGAUUCUGGCGUGUUACUGGAGGCGGAUGUAAAGCCUUUGGGCUUGGCACUUAGUACCCUGACGUGUUUUUGGUUGGAAUGGCUUAUUUGAGCUUUUGGCAUGUUUAGGGUGGAUAACUAUGUACUUAUAUCCAUUAUAUCGUUCAUCGAGCAUAAUUUUUCAGUGUUAAAUGUUUUGUUAAUGAAUUGUAAAAGGUUGUACAUGAAUUUUCCAUUAGCAUUGUGACUUGAUAUUGAAUGAGUUAGUAUGUUGUAUUAAUACGUAACUCGUAUAUGAUUUUAUAUAACCUCACUUGUUAAUAAUUGUGGUUGAUAGGAAGCACUGUCUAUUAAUCUUGUUAUUAAAAUUGCUAUGUUUAUUUCGGUAAGCUUUAUCAGUUUAACUGUCGAACUUACUAAUCUCUAUAGAAGCUUACUCGUGUUAUUUUCUUAUUUCCUUAUAGAUAGCAUUAUGUGGAAUCAGGCUAAUGGAUCAACUUGAACAUCACACUAUCUAGUCACAUUUAGGUAGUUUUUGAAAGUUAACUUUUGGGUUUAUGGCAUGUAAUAGGUGAAAUUUUUAAAUGUUUGAUUGUAUGUUAUGUGGUAAUUGUGAAAGUGAUGAAUGAUGUUUAUGUUCAGUAUUAACUUGUAUGUGUUCAUGUUCAUGUCAUGUUAUUUGAUCAUUUGGUAUAAGUCUUAUGUAGAUGUUCGAAAUUAUGGUAUAAAUGUAUAUGUUUGAAUGAGAAGAGUAAUGGUAAAUUUUAAAAUAAGAUGAUAUAAGAUUUGAGACUUUGAACGAAUACUUGUUAAUAUGUUUGGUGUAUGAAUGUGAUAUAGAAUAUAGCCUUGAAUUUGGUUUGUUUUGGAAUGUGAAUUGAGGUGCCAAAUGAUGGCAUAUUGGUUAGACAUAGGUUGAGUGAAUUUGACAUGUUUUUGGGUGUGAUUGAAUGUGUUUGUGCAUGAAAUUGUAGUUGAAAAUAGCUUGGCUUGGCAUUUAAGUUUUGGUGGAGAAAUGACUUGAAAUGCCAGCUUUUUAAGGUGCACACGGUCUGGGAUACGGUCUGCCACACAUGGCCACCCCACACGGUCGGUGUCAUUAUUAUUUUAGGUGCAAAUUUCACACGGCCUAGCACACAGUUUGGCAUACGGCCCGCGGCACAGCCAUGUGAUCAUAUUUCAAAUAUACACACAGUCACAGAUAGUUACAUAGCCUGGCGGCACGACUGUGUGACCAAACUUCGAAUGCAUACACAGUUUGGCACACAACUUGCGACACAGCCAUGUGACCCUCUUUAAAAUUAUAAAAAAUUAUAAACUAUAAUUAUAAAAAAAAAACUUCGAUGAUGGUGUGGUAUACCAUGUCAGCAAAAAUAAAAUUAUAAAAAAAUUAAAAUUAAUAAAAUAUAUAGAGAGAGAAUGAACCUGGACAAUGGAUAGUCCAAAUUCAUUCAAGAUGAGUACAAACUAUAAUUUUUUUAAAAAAAAAUUAUAAAAUUACUAAAAAUUAUAAAGAUGUUAUAAAAAUUUGAAUAUGUAAAUAACUAUAAAAAUUUCAAAAAAAUUAUAAAAAAAUUAAUUAAAAUGAGAAAGAGGGUGCCAUGAAAGAAUUCAAAAUUACAGAAACUUUUCAAUAAUUGAAAAAGAUUUCAUGAUAGAAUUCAAAAUGAAUAGAGUGCCACGCAAUCUUCCUUGUAAAGAGAGGUGAGAGAAAGAUAAGAGGAAGAAAAAAAAUGAAAAUAUACUAUAUAAGGAAAAUAAUUAUUAAUAUUUAAAAAAUAUAUAAUUUAUAAUAAUUUUUAUGAUGUUUUAAAAAUUUAUAGUUUUGCACUCUCCUUGAAUGAAUUUAAACAAAUGGUUGUUCAAGUUCAUUCUAUAUAUAAAUAUUUAUUAAUUUUAAAAUAUAUUUUAUAAUUUUUUAUUUUUUUGGUAACGUGGCAUGCCACGUCAACACACAUUUUUUUAAACUUUAUUGAUGUGACAUGCCACAUAGCACUGUAUGUCAUGUCAGCAUGUCAGAUCAAUGUCAUUUGACACAUUAGCAAAGUUAACGGUCAAACCGAUCAACUAACGACUUUCGUUAACAGAAUGGCCUAGUUGAUUUUUUUUGGGAGUCACUAAGAGUUCAAUAAGAUGAACUUUUUUUCCUAAGGAUUUAAUUGCAUUUUUAUUUUUUUACUAACGGUUUUUUUACGCUUAAGCUAAUAUUAUUUUACAAAUAAAAUAGUUUUAAGAAAACCCAUAUUCAAACUUUUCUCGUUUUUAGUUUUAUUUUAUAAAUAAUAAUUUAUUUAAUGUACAUAUGGUCUUGUUCCCUAGUCCUCGUCAAAUUUGUUAAGCGUUGGGCAUUACCUUUGUGCACAACCAAUGGCACCAAUAACUCUUACUUCGAAUUUUUUGAUUUUCAUUGUUGUGCCAUCCAACUCGAAAUCAGUUAUAGAGCUAUCAGCAUGGCUUUUUACCUACUGGGUCUCUAAGACUUCAUCCUCACUUAUAUAUCUCCAAUCGUGUUCGCCUUCAAGCUAUAGUCUUUGACCCAGCUUGAACACACUGGUUGUUAAUGUUGAAAAAAAGAGAAAAAACUGAAUUUGCUUAAGUCUUCUUCAUGGUUUGUCUCUUGAAUUGUUUUAUUUAUAAGGUUGUUAAUUUUAUUUAUAAAAUUAUUAUUUUUAUAAAUAAAUUCAAUGUUAGAAAAUGGGUAUUGAUUUAUUCAAAAAUAUUUUUAUAAUUUUGUAUCUAUUUUUGUAAAAUCUUAUAUAUUCUUAUCAAAAAAAUAAACUUAUAUAUAUAAUUUUUUAAAGUUUUCUAAUUUCUAAAUUUUUAAUAUUAAAGACUAAGUUAACAUAAUGUGAAAAGUUAAAGGUUAAAUUUGUUAAAUUUUUUAAAUUAAAAUUAAAUUGAUAAAAUUUAUAAAUAUUAGAGGGAUAAAUUUAUUAUUAUUCUAAUAAAAAAUCUUUCAUCAUUAGAUGAGUGGCCAGAAUAUUAAAUUUUAAUAAAGCUAAUGAUUAAAAUAGAAAAUUUUAAAUCCAAUACGUUAAAGGAUAUGACCAUUUCGUUUACCCUAUUUUUUAUAACAUUGUAAUAAAAAUUCCUAUCGUAAUAAAAUUAAUUGAGAAAUUAAAAAAAAAAAUGGUGAUGGUUGAUUCCUUCACCAGACUCUUUGUUGUAGCUGUGUGUCUUUCAACCUUUAGCUUCGGCAGUUUAGAGGCUCUAACGCGAUGGUACUACUUCUGUUCCAACGCAACCACUUUGACCGGAAACAUCGUCUAUGCCGCGAAUGUCAAUCAGCUCUUCUCUUAUCUCUCAACCAACGCGACGGAGCACGACGGAUUCUUCAACACCACCGCGGGACAGGAGCCUAACAUGGUGUAUGGUCUCUUUCUCUGCCGUGGGGAUGCCCGUCCUGAAAUAUUCCGUGACUGCAUCAACCUUGCUGCUGCCGAUGUAGUUAAACUUUGUCCUAACCAAAGUUGGGCUAUUAUUUGGUAUAACAAGUGCAUGCUACGUUACUCGAACCGGUCCAUCUUUUCCUCCAUGGCUGAAAGACCUAAUGUAACUUUGUCGUACUGGGUAGACGCCAUGGAACCAUACCGCUUUAACCGGCUGGUUGCAACUGUGAUGAAAG
rnacentral:lncRNA from 1 species